UACAGAGGUGCCAAGCGUUAGGCGGAAUCACUGGGCUUAAAGCGCGUGUAGGUGGGUCGUUAGGUGUCCGCGUGAAAUCCCACGGCUCAACCGUGGAACUGCCGGGCAUACUGGCGAUCUUGAGGCAUUCAGGGGCGAGCGGAACAAAUGGUGGAGCGGUGAAAUGCGUAGAUAUCAUUUGGAACGCCAAUGGUGAAAACAGCUCGCUGGGAAUGAUCUGACACUGAGACGCGAAAGCCAGGGGAGCGAACGGG
rnacentral:rRNA from 1 species